ACAAGCUGCUUCCGUCUUCACCCAAUCAGUGAUGAGGAUGCCAAGUUCAAGCUCUGCAAGGUGAGGUCUGUUCAGUUUGGCCAGAAAGGCAUCCCCUACCUG